rnacentral:tRNA from 1 species
GCACCCUUAGCUCAGUUGGUAGAGCAUCUGACUCUUAAUCAGCAGGUCGCGGGUUCGAGUCCCGCAGGGUGCACAA